CCGGGCCUUGCGGAGGGUCACCGUCCGUACGGGCCCUCCGGCGGCCCGCCGGCCGGGCGUUCCCCGUGCGCCCGUGCGACGCCCGUACGCCCUGA
rnacentral:tRNA from 1 species